rnacentral:lncRNA from 1 species
CUGUCAUUAGUUAUGAGACUUUCAGGAAUUAUGUCUUAUGUAUACAAAUGUAUUAUGUAUAUAGCAAACCUGGAAGUGAAAAUGGGUAACAGCUGUAAUAGGAUUGUGGUGGAGAGAUCCAGGAUAUACAACUGUGAAGUCUUUUUCUGAAUUCUCCUUAUCUACCUAGAAGUAGAAACUUUCAAAAGAAUUCAACUAUCAUGAAUACCCCUCUGAAGGAGUCUGACGCUACGAAAAGACCGCUUGCACCUGCAUAAAUAACACCACAAUUUCUCCCACUUGUUCCCCUAAGAAUCUAUAUGUCUUUCCUAAACAUGUAUGUUCUUCUCAUCAAAGCCUUUUCUCUCUCCUUCACUUUUUCUUUUAAAUUAGGCCUAUAAGACCCUAACUUUAGCUAUUUAGUGAGGCCACUUCUUUUGUGUGCUCCCGUAUGCAUAUAUAAAUAAACUUUAGUUUUUAUUUCUCCUGCUAAUCUGUCUUUUGUCAGUUUAAUCUGCAGGCCUCCAAGCCAGGAACCAAAGUGAGUACAAGAAGAGUUUUCCCUCCGCAACACUUUGGCAAUGAAGAUGGGAUGGUUGGGACUCCCCAGUCACUCUGAAGGCUGCAGCUGAGAUCUCAGGAUCUCUUGACCAAGCCAGCAAAGGUAAAUUUCCUUGCUGAUCUCUGCUCAGCAUCCAGCUGAGUGCGUGCAGUAAGAACUUGUCUUUGUUCAAACAGGAAAAGUUCCCUGAUCCUCUCACAGGGCAUGUGAUGGGGGUGUGGCUUGCUUCUUCGUGCCCCACUGCUCAAACCUCUAGGGAAACUUACAGACGGGCAGGCUGUGGGGCUCUGACUCCUCGGCAGUGUCUAGGGGUGGAUGUUUACAGCUCCUGAAGCCUCAGUGGGCGUGUGUCAGAGGGUGCUUAGAGGUUUGCCGUCUAUCCGUCUACGGGUGGCUUAUGUUAACCAGCUCAAUUAGACCCUCUACCUUGUCACAAGGACAGAGGGCUGUUUCCUGAGUUCUUGCCUUGGUGUAGUGGAAGAAUUGGACCACACGUGGGCUUGGAGAAUGAGUGUAAAGUUUUAUUGAGUGGAAGUAGCGUUCAGCUGAUGGGGCAGCCAGAAAUGAGAUAGUCUUCCGCUGGAGUUGGGCCACUCAGCAGCCUGGGCUCUCCUCCGACUGCCCUGGCCAAACUCCGCCUCAUCUGGUUGGCCCAUGGCCUGCCGGCAUCUGUUGGUGUGCUCCUCCGCCAGCGUGCUUCCCCGCCAGCAUGGUCCCCGACAGGUGCUCCUCCGCCAGCGUGGUCCUCGGCUAGGUGCUCCUCUGCCAGCGUGCUCCCCCGCCAGAUGCUCCUCUGCCAGCGGGGUCCUCAGUCAGGUGCUCCUCUGCCAGCGUGCUCCCCCGCCAGGUGCUCCCCCGCCAGGUGCUCCUCUGCCAGCAUGCUCCCCCGCCAGCAUGCUCCUCUGCCAGGUGCUCCCCCACCAGGUGCUCCUCCUUCAGAUGCUCCUCCAGCAGGUGCUCCCCCGCCAGCGUGCUCCUCCACCAGCGUGCUCCUCCUCCAGCGUGCUCCUCCACCAGGUGCUCCUCCACCAGCGUGCUCCUCCACUGCUCCUCCGCCAGCGUGCUCAUGCGCCAGGUGCUCCUUCGCCAGCGUGCUCCUCCGCCAGGUGCUCCUCCUCCAGGUGCUCCCCCACCAGCGUGCUCCCCCACCAGCGUGCUCCUCCGCCAGGUGCUCCUCCACCAGCGUGCUCCUCCACUGCUCCUCCGCCAGCAUGCUCAUCCGCCAGGUGCUCCUUUGCCAGCGUGCUCCUCCACUGCUCCUCUGCCAGCGUGCUCCUCCGCCAGGUGCUCCUCCGCUAGGUGCUCCUCUGCUAGGUGCUCCCCUGCUAGGUGCUCCCCUCGACGUCUUGUCCCCGUCCAGCUGCUUGUGUCUUCUUCCGCUGAUGUGCUCCUCUCCACACCCGGCCGCCUGUGUGUCUGCCCGCUAGGGUCUCAGGUUUUUAUAGGCUCAGGAUGGGGGCAUGGCAGGCCGGGGUGGUCUCGGAAAAUGCAACAUUUGGGUACAAAAGCAGGGGUGCCUGUCCUCACCCAGGUCCGUGGGAGUAGAGCCCUUGCCAGGGACCACACCGCACUUCCCUCUCCCCUUCAGUAUCAUUUAAAGGGACCAUGGUCUUCCCUUCCCAGUACUACCAUAUCAUUGUCUUUUCUUUACAAUAUUUAGAUUAGCUGGAGAAAACACUUAUGGGAAAUAGUUAUUUGGGUAUUGUGACUUUUAGUUUGCGUACUCUUGUUAUAGAUCCUUUUGCUCACAGGGAUAGUCAUUGUGCCCUGUUUGUCUUGUUUUGUGUCUUGAAAGCUUGGCUUGGAUUUAGUAAGAGAGUUCUCUCUCUCUGGUUUUCUGCCUGCCAGGAGUACAGGUUGCCAAGUCUGUGCUAAGAGAUGGCCAAACAUCAGAUUGGGAUCCCAAGAAUUUGUAGUUAGCUGGAUAAAAAUCUGGGUAGCCCGGGCAUUCCAUUUGUUGCUGGCAUUCUAUCCACCAUUGCUAAUUUUCAGCAGUUUCAUCACAGAAAGACAGAGACUUAGAAGUGGUGUUUAUAGAAGUGGCUUGAGAAACGACCUUAGAUUCCAGGGGCUGUAUGUUCUGCACCCUUUCUGGGAAUGCCUCUUGUGUCCCCACUGUUAAGCCACAGAAAGUCUUACUACUUCUGAGUCGCAUUUUGGAACAGGUAUACCUUUGGAGAUCCUAAAUCAUGAAUGGCCAGAUGACAGAUCCUUUGAUCUGAAAAAGCUUUUAUAUUUAAAAGGAUUUUUAGAGAGCUUCCCCCCUAUACAAAUGACCUGUUUGUACCUAUGGAAAAAUCAAAUUAAAAGAAGAAGAAGAGUAUCAUGGCUAGCCUAAAAGGAUCCCUUGGCAAAAUUAAAUAGCAGAAAUCACAUUUACAACAAAAAUUGAAAUCCACACAGACCAUAAACCCUUCCACUGACAGUUAUUCUGUAGUUGUGCCACAAGCCAGAUGGCCCCCUGAAAAAAAUUCUCCUCACCAACAUAACAAAUGGCCAGACCCUUUUCUAGGCCUUCCUGUAAAUAAUCAGAAGUUGGCUGAUUUGGAGGCUGAUAUUCAGGGCCUGAUAUGGUUUGGUCCCCACUCAAAUCUCAAGUUGAAUUGAAUAUCCCAGAAUUCCCACGUGUUUUGGGAGGGACCCAGAGGGAGGUAAUUGAAUCAUGGGGGCCAGUUUUUCCCAUGCCAUUCUUGUGAUAGUGAAUAAGUCUCACAAGAUCUGAUAGUUUAUCAGGGGUUUCUGCUUUUGCUUCUUCCUCAUUUUCUCUUGCCACCACCAUGUAAGAAGUACCUUUCACCUCCCGCCAUGAUUCUGAGGCCUCCCCAACCAUGUGGAACUGUAAGUCCAUUUAAUCCUCUUUUUCUUCCCAGUCUUGGGUAUGUCUUUAUCAGCAGCAUAAAAAAGGUCUGAUACAGGGCCUGAUGGGAGUUAUUUUAGAAGCCUUCCCUCUGAAGUCUGCUUGGACUAACAUGGAACUAUGUAUUCCGAAGGAGGGUCUCAUCCCAAAACCUGUGUCAAACAAUUGGCACAUAGCUCUAAAUCCAGAAGCCCUAGAACAUAGAAAUCUUUUGAUUUCUACCUUAGUUAGAAGUCUUCUUCCUUAGAUGUAAAGAAACAAUUAAAAAAAAAAUCAGGUAUAAGCCAUAAAGUGUUGUGUCUUUAACAAAAGAGACUGCCUCAGAGAACCUUAGAAAGGACUGUGACAGAUACUGUGUGGUACAGGCUUCUGAUGACAUCACUUAAAUAACUUUAAGAUUAUACCACUG